rnacentral:rRNA from 1 species
GACGAACGCUGGCGGCGUGCUUAACACAUGCAAGUCGAACGGAAAGGCCCUGCUUUUGUGGGGUGCUCGAGUGGCGAACGGGUGAGUAACACGUGAGUAACCUGCCCUUGACUUUGGGAUAACUUCAGGAAACUGGGGCUAAUACCGGAUAGGAGCUCCUGCUGCAUGGUGGGGGUUGGAAAGUUUCGGCGGUUGGGGAUGGACUCGCGGCUUAUCAGCUUGUUGGUGGGGUAGUGGCUUACCAAGGCUUUGACGGGUAGCCGGCCUGAGAGGGUGACCGGCGACAUGGGGACUGAGGUACGGCCCAGACUCCUACGGGAGGCAGCAGUGGGGAAUAUUGCACAAUGGGCGGAAGCCUGAUGCAGCAACGCCGCGUGCGGGAUGACGGCCUUCGGGUUGUAAACCGCUUUCGCCUGUGACGAAGCGUGAGUGACGGUAAUGGGUAAAGAAGCACCGGCUAACUACGUG